rnacentral:lncRNA from 1 species
UUGACUUACUUUUCCAGUAAGUGUGGGUAGGUAAUAAUUCCUCUUUUAAAAUUUAUUUAGGGGUUCCCAUCAUGCGUGGCUCAGCAGAAAACCAAUCUGACUAGGAACCUCGAGGUUGCGGGUUCGAUCCCUGUCCUCGCUCCAUGGGUUAAGGAUCUGGUGUUGCCGUGAACUGUGGUGUAGGUUGCAGAUGUGGCUGGGAUCUUUACUGUGGCUUUGACGUAGGCUGGUGGCUACAGCUCUGAUUGGACCUCUAGCCUGGGAACCUCCAUAUGCCGCAGGUGUGGCCCUAAAAGGAAAAAAAAAAUUAUUUAGAACUCUCAGUUAUAGAGAUACUUAUUACUAAAUUGAACCUUCUGCAAAAACUGCUGAAGAUAUUCUUAGGAGCAAAAACCUAAGCCUAGCCGUGGCAUGACUAUUCAGUUUAGACAAGCUUAAAUAGCUAAUAUCCAAAGUAAUUGUCAGAUUGCUACAUUAUGCAUAAUCUUACAGAAUCUAUGCUUUUGUAUACACGUAUCCUUUUCACAUUUUGAAAUAAGAAAAAUAUAAAUGAAUGGGGCAGAAGAGUAGGUUCAAUUACUUUGGUUCUGUCAUUAAAUCUCUACUAACCAUUUAAUACAAUGUAUGUAGACUCCGUUUCCAAACUUUAUUCUUCAAGUUUUACCUCAUCAUGUGGUAGAAUAAAGAGGAGCUUCUUCACAAUUUUGUUUAAUUAUAAUGUUAUGAUUCAUAUCCACGUAAUGAGAAGUCUUAACUUGAACUAUAAGAACAAAAGUCAAAAAAGCUGGAGAAUCUCAUGAUCACUGUAAGAUUUAUUCUUCAAAGACAUUCUUUUCAUUUUUUGAGAUAUGCUAAUAAAAGAAGAGGUGUGGAAUCUAAAGUUUGGCAAGUGCAUGUAUGAAAUCUUUGCUUUUCAGGCUUCACGUUAAUAGAUUUUUCUUCCCUGUUGACUCCCUUCCUUCCUUUCUUCCUUCUGUCUUUUUUCUUUUCUCUUCUUUUCUUUCUCACAUCUUCCUUCCUUUCUAUUAAUUUCUGCAAUUUCUUCCCAGAAGCUCCUGUAAUUUUAAACCUUGAAUACUUGAUUGGAUUUAAGGAGGAAAAUCCAUAUCCAGAUUUAUUCUAAAGGUAUCUUACUACUUUAGACAAAGGGAGGAAAUUUUAUUCAAAAAUAUAGUUGGAACUCUGCUUUCAAACCUGACACCAACAUAUGAACAAGUCCUUUAAGUCGUGCUGUAGGCAACCUCUGCCUGUCCCUCACUCACCUUAACCAUUUCUCAAGGUUUCUGCAUUUCUCUCUCUUUUUUUUUGCUUUAUUUAUUUAUUUGUAAAAUACUUAUUUUAUUCUAUUUUAAUACUCCUUAAAGUUAGCUGAAACAGUUUUGGCUUUAUUAUUUGAUGAAAUUAAUUUUAAGUAAAGUAUUAAUGUGGAUUUAUUAAAUGUAUUAUGCCUUAUGCUUCUUAAAGUAUUAAAAUACAUCUCCAAAUCAAAUAUACUUCAAUUUACAGGAAAAAAAAAAAAAA